GACCUCAGAUCAGCCAAGA
rnacentral:rRNA from 1 species